GUAUUGACGAAGAGUCCCAAAAGAGGACGAAACAGCUGUCCAGUAA
rfam:Trichobilharzia regenti genome assembly, scaffold: TRE_scaffold0031663